AAAAUACUCCCUCCGUUUCAAAUUACUUGUCGUAAGAAUUGAUGUGUCUAGAACUAAAAUACAUUUAGAUACAUCCAUACCUGCGACAAGUAAUUCGGAACGGAAGGAGUAUGAU
rfam:Triticum aestivum genome assembly, contig: Triticum_aestivum_CS42_TGACv1_scaffold_570269_7AS